ACCUGGGUUGUCCCCUCUAG
rnacentral:miRNA from 1 species